rnacentral:rRNA from 1 species
AACGAACGCUGGCGGCAGGCCUAACACAUGCAAGUCGAGCGAGGACUUCGGUUCUAGCGGCGGACGGGUGAGUAACGCGUGGGAAUGUGCCCUUCUCUACGGAAUAGCCCUGGGAAACUGGGAGUAAUACCGUAUACGCCCUAUUGGGGAAAGAUUUAUCGGAGAAGGAUCAGCCCGCGUUGGAUUAGGUAGUUGGUGGGGUAAUGGCCUACCAAGCCGACGAUCCAUAGCUGGUUUGAGAGGAUGAUCAGCCACACUGGGACUGAGACACGGCCCAGACUCCUACGGGAGGCAGCAGUGGGGAAUCUUAGACAAUGGGGGCAACCCUGAUCUAGCCAUGCCGCGUGAGUGAUGAAGGCCUUAGGGUUGUAAAGCUCUCUCAGCUGGGAAGAUAAUGACGGUACCAGCAGAAGAAGCCCCGGCUAACUCCGUG